GAUGAACGCUGGCGGCGCGCUUAACACAUGCAAGUCGAACGAAACACUUUAUUUGAGUUCCUUCGGGACUGAGUAUUUUGUGAGAGAGUGGCGUGACGGAUGAUGCCUCGCGUGGGGAAACUGCCUUGGACAGGGAGAGAUCAUAUGGAAUCGGCUGCUAGUACCGCAUCAACCCAAGGGAUCACGAGAUGUCCUGUGAGAAACUCCCGCGGUAUAAAAUGGACGCGCGGUGGAUUAUCGUACUGGUGAGGUAACGGCCCACCAAGGCGACGAUCCAUAGCCGACCUGAGAGGGUGACCGGCCACAUUGGGACUGAGACACGGCCCAGACUCCUACGGGAGGCAGCAGUGGGGAAUAUUGCACAAUGGGCGAAAGCCUGAUGCAGCGACGCCGCGUGAACGAAGAAGUUUUUCGGUAUGUAAAGUUCUAUCAGCAGGGAAGACAAUGACGGUACUUGACUAAGAAGCGCCGGCUAAAUACGUGCCAGCAGCCGCGGUAAUACGUAUGUCGCAAGCGUUAUCCGGAUUUACUGGGUGUAAAGGGAGCGCAGGCGGUACGGCAAGUCUGAUGUGAAAUCCCGGGGCUCAACCCCUGUACUGCAUUGGAAACUGUCGUUCUAGAGUGUCGGAGGGGUAAGCGGAAUUCCUAGUGUAGCGGUGAAAUGCGUAGAUAUUAGGAGGAACACCAGUGGCGAAGGCGGCUUACUGGACGCUAACUGACGCUGAGGCUCGAAAGUGUGGGGAGCAAACAGGAUUAGAUACCCUGGUAGUCCACGCCGUAAACGAUGA
rnacentral:rRNA from 1 species